UUGAUGGAGAGUUUGAUCCUGGCUCAGGAUGAACGCUGGCGGCGUGCCUAACACAUGCAAGUCGAACGGUCCCUUCGGGGAUAGUGGCGGACGGGUGGGAUAGUGGCGGACGGGUGAGGAACACGUAGCUAACCUGCCCUCAAGACUGGGAUAACCCUGCGAAAGCAGGGCUAAAACCGGAUAAGCUCACGAGGAAGAGAGGCCUGGUGAGAAAAGUCUACGGAGCUUGAGGAGGGGGCUGCGGCCCAUCAGCUAGUUGGUAGGGUAAUGGCCUACCAAGGCGACGACGGGUAGGGGGCCUGAGAGGGUGACCCCCCACACUGGGACUGAGACACGGCCCAGACUCCUACGGGAGGCAGCAGUGAGGAAUAUUGCGCAAUGGGCGAAAGCCUGACGCAGCGACGCCGCGUGGACGAUGAAGGUCUUCGGAUCGUAAAGUCCUUUUCUGCGUGACGAGGAAGGACGGUAGCGCAGGAAUAAGUGUCGGCUAACUACGUGCCAGCAGCCGCGGUAACACGUAGGACGCAAGCGUUAUCCGGAAUUACUGGGCGUAAAGGGCGUGUAGGCGGCACGGUAAGUCAACCGUGAAAGCUCCCGGCUAAACUGGGAGAGGUCGGAUGAGACUGCCGAGCUAGAGGGUCGUAGAGGGGUGUGGAAUUCCGGGUGUAGUGGUGAAAUGCGUAGAGAUCCGGAGGAACACCAGAGGCGAAGGCGGCACCCUGGACGACACCAGACGCUGAGACGCGACAGCACGGGGAGCGAACGGGAUUAGAAACCCCGGUAGUCCGUGCCGUAAACGAUGUGCACUAGAUGUUCGGUCCUCUACGGGGGAGUGAGCGUCGCAGCCAACGCGGUAAGUGCACCGCCUGGGGAGUACGGUCGCAAGGCUAAAACUCAAAGGAAUUGACGGGGCCCCGCACAAGCAGCGGAGCGUGUGGUUUAAUUCGAGGCUACGCGAAGAACCUUACCUAGGUUUGACAUCCCCUGACCGCGUAUGAAAGUACGAAUCCGAAAGGCAGGGAGACAGGUGCUGCAUGGCUGUCGUCAGCUCGUGUCGUGAGAUGUUCGGUUAAGUCCGAAAACGAGCGCAACCCCCGGGUCUAGUUACAAGUGUCUAGACCGACUGCCUGCGACAAGUGGGAGGAAGGUGGGGAUGACGUCAAGUCAGCAUGGCCUUUACAUCUAGGGCUACACACACGCUACAAUGGCGCGCACAAUGGGAAGCAAGACCGCGAGGUGGAGCAAAUCCUGAAAGCGCGUCGUAGUUCGGAUUGCAGGCUGCAACUCGCCUGCAUGAAGCUGGAGUUGCUAGUAAACGCAGGUCAGCACACUGCGUUGAAUACGUUCUCGGGGCUUGUACACACCGCCCGUCACGUCAUGGGAGCUGGUCACGCCUGAAGUCGGGAAGGUAACCGAAAGGAGCCUACUGCCGAAGGCAGGGCUGGUGACUGGGACGAAGUCGUAACAAGGUAGCUGUACCGGAAGGUGCGGCUGGAUCACCUCCUUUCUAAG
rnacentral:rRNA from 1 species